rnacentral:rRNA from 1 species
GAUGAACGCUGGCGGCGUGCCUAAUACAUGCAAGUCGAGCGAACGGACGAGAAGCUUGCUUCUCUGAUGUUAGCGGCGGACGGGUGAGUAACACGUGGAUAACCUACCUAUAAGACUGGGAUAACUUCGGGAAACCGUAGCUAAUACCGGAUAAUAUUUUGAACCGCAUGGUUCAAAAGUGAAAGACGGUUUUGCUGUCACUUAUAGAUGGAUCCGCGCUGCAUUAGCUAGUUGGUAAGGUAACGGCUUACCAAGGCAACGAUGCAUAGCCGACCUGAGAGGGUGAUCGGCCACACUGGAACUGAGACACGGUCCAGACUCCUACGGGAGGCAGCAGUAGGGAAUCUUCCGCAAUGGGCGAAAGCCUGACGGAGCAACGCCGCGUGAGUGAUGAAGGUCUUCGGAUCGUAAAACCCUGUUAUUAGGGAAGAACAUAUGUGUAAGUAACUGUGCACAUCUUGACGGUACCUAAUCAGAAAGCCACGGCUAACUACGUG